GUUGAACGCUGGCGGCAUGCCUUACACAUGCAAGUCGAACGGCAGCAUGAUCUAGCUUGCUAGAUUGAUGGCGAGUGGCGAACGGGUGAGUAAUACAUCGGAACGUGCCCUGUAGUGGGGGAUAACUAGUCGAAAGAUUAGCUAAUACCGCAUACGACCUGAGGGUGAAAGUGGGGACCGCAAGGCCUCAUGCUAUAGGAGCGGCCGAUGUCUGAUUAGCUAGUUGGUGAGGUAAAGGCUCACCAAGGCGACGAUCAGUAGCUGGGCUGAGAGGACGAUCAGCCACACUGGGACUGAGACACGGCCCAGACUCCUACGGGAGGCAGCAGUGGGGAAUUUUGGACAAUGGGCGAAAGCCUGAUCCAGCAAUGCCGCGUGUGUGAAGAAGGCCUUCGGGUUGUAAAGCACUUUUGUCCGGAAAGAAAUGGCUCUGGUUAAUACCUGGGGUCGAUGACGGUACCGGAAGAAUAAGGACCGGCUAACUACGUGCCAGCCGCCGCAGUAA
rnacentral:rRNA from 1 species